UACAGAGGUCUCAAGCGUUGUUCGGAUUCAUUGGGCGUAAAGGGUGCGUAGGUGGCGCUGUAAGUCGGGUGUGAAAUCCUGGGGCUUAACCUCAGAACUGCAUUCGAUACUGCGGCGCUUGAGGACUGGAGAGGAGACUGGAAUUCAUGGUGUAGCAGUGAAAUGCGUAGAGAUCAUGAGGAAGACCAGUGGCGAAGGCGGGUCUCUGGACAGUUCCUGACACUGAGGCACGAAGGCCAGGGGAGCAAACGGG
rnacentral:rRNA from 1 species